CCUGUGCCAGUGCUUCACCACGGUUACUACAGUAACUUCUUCCUUAUAGCCAGUUCAAAUCUCUCCUCUUUUAGUUUGCAACCAUUUCCCCUUGCCCUGUCACAACAGGCCCUACUUAAGAGUCUGUCCCCUUCUUCCUUACAGCCCCCUUCAUUUUCAUUCACAAGGCUCAGGAAAACCCGUGGAUGGCAUCAAAGCACAGAAGAUGCUCUUGUUCCCAGGUCUCCCCUGCACUGCUGUUAAUCAAUGCACCCAGAGGGAGGAUGCACUUCUCCCUUAAUGGGGGCAAGGAGCAGGAGGAAGGCAAUCAACCCUCAUCAGCCAGCCCCUCAAUCACUGCACUUCACACAGCUGGGGGUGGUGGUGUGGAGAAGAACAAAAUCAUCUCCAUGCUUUGCUGGGAAAAGUGCUGCUCCUUCUUCUUUGCCGGCAAAGAGAAGAGGUCUUCAAGAUUUGAGGUUCUCCUCGCCAUCAUUUCUGCAAAUGCUGAAGGCUGGAAGCUAGCUUGAAAAAAUAAAACCACAGCGUGAUCUGAAAUUCUCAUGCAAUCACAUGGCUCGCAGAGUCAGAAACCCAAAAACGCCUCCAAGUAUUAAGAUACUCCAAACAAACAACAAAGAGGUUGAGUUAACACACUCCAAAAAGCCCAAACAUUCUGCUGUUGUUAUCUGGUUCUGUCAUCGAGGUGAUAUUUCAGCCGCCUGAGACAGAUGAGAUUUCGAAGGGGGAUUUCUGAUUUGUGUUUGUUUUUAAUUUGAGGUUUGGAUCACAGCAACAGCGGCAAUUUGUUUUGUUGCGUAUUUAUGGCUGCACAUGUUUAAAAUGGUAAAUCUGCACUGACCCAUUCGACCACAAAAGCGAAACCAGCUUCUGUAUUCCCAUUCCUGAGCUGGAGAAGUAAACCCGCAGCAUGCAUGUCUAAACUGAUGACUGAAGUGCAAUUAUUUCCUUGGUGAGAGAAAAAAAAAAGCACUAACAGCUACGUAUCAUGAAAAACACUUCCCUGUG
ensembl:lncRNA